rnacentral:rRNA from 1 species
GAUUAACGCUGGCGGCGUGCCUAACACAUGCAAGUCGAACGAGGUAGCAAUACCUAGUGGCAGACGGGUGAGUAACACGUGGUCAACCUUCCCUACAGUGGGGGAUAACUAGCCGAAAGGUUAGCUAAUACCGCAUAACAUCUACGAGCGGCAUCGCAUGUAGAUCAAAGGAGCAAUCCGCUGAAGGACGGGACCGCGUCCCAUUAGUUAGUUGGUGGGGUAAUGGCCUACCAAGACUCCGAUGGGUAGCUGGUUUGAGAGAGCGACCAGCCACACU